UUACAAGAGAGAACACUAAGUUUACUUGUCGGAGAGCAGCGGGCAAACAACAAAUGAUAAAGGACAUUCCUACUUGGUCUUUGAACAGACUCAGAAGAAUUGGAGAAACUGAGGAGGAGUUUCAAUAUCUGGAAAAGUGGUUGGAAAUUGAAAAGAUCCAGGCAGCAAAAGUGUCAAAGUUGUGCAGAAUUGAAG